UACGUAGGUGGCAAGCGUUGUCCGGAUUUAUUGGGUUUAAAGGGUGCGUAGGCGGUCAAGUAAGUCAGCGGUGAAAUCCGGCAGCUCAACUGUCGAUGUGCCAUUGAUACUGCAUGACUUGAGUACUGAUGAGGUAGGCGGAAUUGACGGUGUAGCGGUGAAAUGCUUAGAUAUCGUCAAGAACACCGAUAGCGAAGGCAGCUUACUAAGCAGUAACUGACGCUGAUGCACGAAAGUGUGGGGAUCAAACAGG
rnacentral:rRNA from 1 species